AUGCUCGCUUUGGCAGCACGUAUAGUAAGACUGGAAGGAUACAGAGAGGAUUAGCAUGGCCCCUGCCUAAGGAUGACAUGCAAAUUGGUGAAGCAUUCCGUAUUUUU
ensembl:snRNA U6 U6 spliceosomal RNA